CUACCCUGUAGAUCCGGGCUUUUGUAGUUUGUGAAUAGCAUUCAGAAGCUCGUAUUUACAGGUAUCU
rnacentral:pre_miRNA from 1 species